GAAUCAGCACUGGGCCAAGCCGUGGUUUACGGACCCGGUUUACAAUGAUCAAUGGAGCUAUGGGAACAGCAGACACCGCGAAGGAGCCUGCUGGCCUCCCAUCUGGAGCCUCACAGGCACUGAAGAGAGCAGCAGCUGAGGGUGUAUUUCGAAGGCGGGGGAUGACUAGCAAGUAUGCGCCAGAUGAGACCUCCGGGGUGACCUGGAAUUACAGAGGCCACUCAUUCUCGGAAUAGGGUUAUGAAAACUGUAAUAUUGUAGAGAUGAAAAGGACCUAUGAAGACCACCUGAUCUGUCAACUUUCUCAAAAGACCACACCUACAUGUAGACAAGUAGGUGUGUGACCUUCAAAGCUUUAGGCUCUCAGAACUUCUGGUGUCUCACUAUAUCAUGAAAGGAAGUUCUUCCUUUUGUGUGACCUAUAUAGUACAUGUUGCGGGCAAGUCCCUCUCAUUCCUGGAAGCUCGCUCAUUGAUGCUGGCCAGGGGUCUCCCCACAGCUUUGGAUAGAUGUCUAGAACCCUCCCUUCACUGGAGCAGUAGGUGCAGGGGAAAAUUGGAUGUGCUGGAAGAGAGAAGUUGGCAUGUGGGCCAGCCUGGUACCUGCACCUGACCCCCACCAUCAACUUUGCACCCCCUUUCAUAUCCACAAACAUUUACUGAGCACCAGUUCAGGUCAAGUAUUGUACUGGGCAUAGGAAUGCUCAGAGGACCCUGAUGGACCUUGAGUGCCUUGAGAAGUUACAUAUAUAUAUAUUUACAUAUAUAUGUAAAUGGUGACAGUUAUGUAUAUACAUAACAUAAAAUGUAUCAUUUUAACUAUUAACUAGUUCAGAGGCAUUAAGUACACUCACGUUGUGCAGCCAUCACCACCAUCCGUAUCCAGAACUUUUCAUCUUCCUAAAUUAGUUCUCUGAACUCAUUAAAUAAUAACUCCCCACUCCCAUCCUUCUCCCAGCCCCUGGCAACCACCAUUCCACUUCCUGUCUCUAUGGAUUUGACUACUCUAGGAAACUCAUAUAAGUGAAAUCAUACAGUAUUUGUCUUUUUAUGACUGGCUUGUUAUACUUAGCAUAAUGUAUUUAAGGUUCAUUCACGUUGUAGCAUGCGUUAGAAUUUCCUUCUUUUUUUUAAGGCUGUACCAUUGUGUGUGUGUAUAUAUAUAUAUAUAUAUAUAUGUAUAUACCACCUUUUAUUUAUUCACUCAUCCCUCUUGAUGGACACUUGGUUUGCUUUCACCCUUUGGCUAUUGUGAA